GCAGGCCCAAAUACACUGAGUACACAUCAAAUUAUCACACAUAUCCCUCCUGUCCAUCAACUUAAGUGAUAUAAAUCAGUAAUAAAUAUUUAAACCUAAAACAAAAUGCCUGAGAAAUAAACAGUCACACUUUACAUUAGUGUUCAUAUUGCAGGAUUACUUGAGUAUACUGUG